GUUCUGCAGUGUUCAUUUCAGAAAUAAAUUCGCAUGUCAGACUUCAGAAAUUUUCAAACCGAUGAGAAUGAAAAUUCUGUUACUUAGCAGAAU
rfam:Glycine soja cultivar W05 scaffold1109_22, whole genome shotgun sequence.